rnacentral:rRNA from 1 species
UGGGGAAUUUUGGACAAUGGGCGAAAGCCUGAUCCAGCAAUGCCGCGUGUGUGAAGAAGGCCUUCGGGUUGUAAAGCACUUUUGUCCGGAAAGAAAUCCUUGGCUCUAAUACAGUCGGGGGAUGACGGUACCGGAAGAAUAAGCACCGGCUAACUACGUGCCAGCAGCCGCGGUAAUACGUAGGGUGCAAGCGUUAAUCGGAAUUACUGGGCGUAAAGCGUGCGCAGGCGGUUUGCUAAGACCGAUGUGAAAUCCCGGGCUCACCUGGGAACUGCAUUGGUGACUGGCAGGCUAGAGUAUGGGCAGAGGGGGGUAGAAUUCCACGUGUAGCAGUGAAAUGCGUAGAGAUGUGGAGGAAUACGAUGGCGAAGGCAGCCCCCUGGGCCAAUACUGACGCUCAUGCACGAAAGCGUGGGGAGCAAACAGGAUUCAGAUACCCUGGUAGUCCACGCCCUAAACGAUGUCAACUAGUUGUUGGGGAUUCAUUUCCUAGUAACGUAGCUAACGCGUGAAGUUGA